GACGAACGCUGGCGGCGUGCUUAACACAUGCAAGUCACGGGGGCCCGCAAGGGUAACCGGCGAACGGGUGCGUAACACGUGAACAAUCUGCCUAGAUGUGGGGGAUAGCCGGCCCAACGGCCGGGUAAUACCGCAUACGCUCUUCGGGUGGCAUCACUUGAAGAGGAAACCUCCGGGGCAUCUAGAGGAGUUCGCGGCCUAUCAGCUAGUUGGUGGGGUAACGGCCUACCAAGGCAAUGACGGGUAGCUGGUCUGGGAGGAUGGCCAGCCACAUUGGGACUGAGAUACGGCCCAGACUCCUACGGGAGGCAGCAGUGGGGAAUAUUGCGCAAUGGCCGAAAGGCUGACGCAGCGACGCCGCGUGGGGGAUGAAGCAUUUCGGUGUGUAAACCCCUGUUGCCCGGGACGAACAAGCGAUUUUGAUCGCUCUGACGGUACCGGGUGAGGAAGCACCGGCUAACUCCGUGCCAGCAGCCGCGGUAAUACGGAGGGUGCGAGCGUUGUCCGGAAUCACUGGGCGUAAAGGGCGCGUAGGCGGUCUGCUAAGCGUGUGGUGAAAGCUCGGGGCUCAACCCCGAGUCUGCCAUGCGAACUGGUGGACUAGAGCACUGUAGAGGCAGGUGGAAUUCCGGGUGUAGCGGUGGAAUGCGUAGAGAUCCGGAAGAACACCAGUGGCGAAGGCGGCCUGCUGGGCAGUAGCUGACGCUGAGGCGCGAUAGCGUGGGGAGCAAACAGG
rnacentral:rRNA from 1 species